rnacentral:lncRNA from 1 species
GUCCUCUGGCCUCCAAAUGCCUGAGGGGACCAUGAUCUAGACCUAGCAAGCAGCAGGUCUUGACUUUGGAUUUUCUUGGCUUUGGCUUUAGAGCCAAACUUUGUUCUGGCUUUAGAGCCGAGGAUAGAAGAAAUGGGUUAUGUAUUUCCCCCUGUGCCUAAAGAAAGUCACCCACCAAGCACAGGUAUGUGACAAGGGUACCCCUGUGUGGAAGCCUAGGAAGAUCAUUAUGUAAAACAGUAAAGAUGAAGCCUGGAUUGACUUGGACACCCAAAGAUGCCAAAGAUGCUAGAGCUGUGGGACACCUGCUGAGGAAAUGUUAACAGGGAGGAGAAACAGCGCAAGAGACAGAAGUGUGUUGCAGUCAGCAAAGCUGAAAGGAGUUGAAGAUCUGAAGAACAUCUGGACAUCAGACAUGGAGAUUGAAGUUUGCCCACCUUGGUUUCAUCUUGCUCUGGUCCACUAUUUUCUUUUCUUUUCUUUUUUUUUUUAAUAUAUAUAUAUUUUAAUUACGAAUUUUCCUCAAUUACAUUUCCAAUGCUAUCCUAAAAGUCCCCCACACCCUCCCCCUCCCACUCCC